AUUGAACGCUGGCGGUAUGCUUAAGACAUGCAAGUCGAACGGGUAACAGGUUAAGCUGACGAGUGGCGGACGAGUGAGUAACGCGUGGGAAUCUACCUUGUAGUGGGGGAUAAGCCAGGGAAACUUGGACUAAUACCGCAUACGCCCUAAGGGGGAAAGGCGCAAGUCGCUAUAAGAUGAGCCCGCGUCUGAUUAGGUAGUUGGUGGGGUAAAGGCCCACCAAGGCGACGAUCGAUAGCUGGUCUGAGAGGAUGAUCAGCCACACUGGAACUGAGACACGGUCCAGACUCCUACGGGAGGCAGCAGUAGGGAAUAUUGGACAAUGGGGGCAACCCUGAUCCAGGCCAUGCCGCGUGAGUGAAGAAGGCCCUCGGGUUGUAAAGCUCUUUUGUCCGGAAAGAAAGCAAUCGGUUAAUACCCGGUUGUUCUGACGGUACCGGAAG
rnacentral:rRNA from 1 species